rnacentral:lncRNA from 1 species
CUGAUUUCAUUGAGAUUUGGAUCUAGUCUCACAUAACCUGACAAUUCAAAACUUGCUAAGAAAUCUUUAUUGACUGUAGAGAAUAGAGGAUUUAAAAGGCAAAGUAAAGCCACCAAGUCUGAGCUGCAGACUAGGGCACGACAAAGGGCUUUAUCUAUAGAUUCCUAUAUAAAUCUUCAUCAGCUUAAUCAUAUCAUUCUUUUAAGGAGAUGUCCAAUUCUGAUGCAAAAACACAAGGAUGAAGAAUCUACCACAACUUCAUAUUCAGUUAGUGACCGGAACUGGGUUCUACUACCUGUAUGUUGCCUCUUCCUUCCCCAGCUAGACUCAUGCUUUGCUUUGCCAAAGCUUCCAUCUUCUGACUAUACCCCGCAAACCGGUUGCCACUAGCUUGACAGUGUACUUUUC